rnacentral:misc_RNA from 1 species
GCUUUAAGGAAAGCUCUUUGUUUUUUGAAAGGGUGCUUUUAUGAGAUAGAGCUUUUUUAGAUAAUGCUUUUUUAGAUAAUGCUGGGGAAGGUUUUCCGGUUUAUCUCGGAGGGCUUGUAGCUCAGUUGGUUAGAGCGCGCGCUUGAUAAGCGUGAGGUCGGAGGUUCAAGUCCUCCCAGGCCCACCAAUUUACCUAUCCAUUUGCCUUUAUCCGUUUAUUUGCCGAUUUAUCGGUCCAUUGAAUUUAAGUGUUGGUAGCAGUUUUAUAAUGAUGAGAAAUCAUGCUUAUAAAAGAAUUCCUUAUAAAAGGCUUGUUUUUAAAAUGUGACGCUUAUCCAUUUCGCUUAGGCAAAAGAAACUUCAAGCGGUCAAAUGCAAAAGGCUUUAAAUUUUGCAAAACACUUUGAAUUUUAAAGUGAUCCAAGUUCGUGAUCUCGAAUUUAAAAGUUUCAAAUGCUUUAUCCUUUUUUGGGGGCCGUAGCUCAGCUGGGAGAGCACCUGCUUUGCAAGCAGG